rnacentral:rRNA from 1 species
GUAGGCGGCGUGUCGCGUCUGCUGUGAAAGACCGGGGCUUAACUCCGGUUCUGCAGUGGAUACGGGCAUGCUAGAGGUAGGUAGGGGAGACUGGAAUUCCUGGUGUAGCGGUGAAAUGCGCAGAUAUCAGGAGGAACACCGGUGGCGAAGGCGGGUCUCUGGGCCUUACCUGACGCUGAGGAGCGAAAGCAUGGGGAGCGAACAGGAUUAGAUACCCUGGUAGUCCAUGCCGUAAACGUUGGGCGCUAGGUGUGGGGACUUUCCACGGUUUCCGCGCCGUAGCUAACGCAUUAAGCGCCCCGCCUGGGGAGUACGGCCGCAAGGCUAAAACUCAAAGGAAUUGACGGGGGCCCGCACAAGCGGCGGAGCAUGUUGCUUAAUUCGACGCAACGCGAAGAACCUUACCAAGGUUUGACAUCACCCGUGGACUCGCAGAGAUGUGAGGUCAUUUAGUUGGCGGGUGACAGGUGGUGCAUGGCUGUCGUCAGCUCGUGUCGUGAGAUGUUGGGUUAAGUCCCGCAACGAGCGCAACCCUUGUUCCAUGUUGCCAGCACGUAAUGGUGGGGACUCAUGGGAGACUGCCGGGGUCAACUCGGAGGAAGGUGGGGAUGACGUCAAGUCAUCAUGCCCCUUAUGUCUUGGGCUGCAAACAUGCUACAAUGGCCGGUACAAUGGGCGUGCGAUACCGUAAGGUGGAGCGAAUCCCUAAAAGCCGGUCUCAGUUCGGAUUGGGGUCUGCAACUCGACCCCAUGAAGGUGGAGUCGCUAGUAAUCGCGGAUCAGCACGCCGCGGUGAUACGUUCCCGGGCCUUGCACUCACCGCCCGU